UACGUAGGGGGCAAGCGUUGUCCGGAAUCAUUGGGCGUAAAGCGCGUGUAGGCGGCCCGAUAAGUCCGCUGUGAAAGUCCAGGGCUCAACCCUGGGAUGCCGGUGGAUACUGUCGGGCUCGAGUCCGGAAGAGGAGUGUGGAAUUCCUGGUGUAGCGGUGAAAUGCGCAGAUAUCAGGAGGAACACCAAUGGCGAAGGCAGCACUCUGGGACGUGACUGACGCUGAGACGCGAAAGCGUGGGUAGCAAACAGG
rnacentral:rRNA from 1 species